CAGCAGGAUGACCUGAUUGGUUUGUGUCUGUCUCUUUCAGAUCACCUUGACAACUAUCGGUUAUGGAGACAAGUUCCCCAUCACCUGGAACGGACGUCUGUUGGCUGCAACCUUCACUCUGAUCGGAGUGUCAUUCUUUGCUCUGCCUGCUGGGAUCCUGGGUUCUGGUUUUGCUCUGAAGGUUCAAGAGCAACACAGACAGAAACACUUUGAGAAGAGACGAAACCCAGCAGCUGGACUUAUACAGGCAGCAUGGAGGGUUUAUGCCACUAAUUUGAGCCGAACCGACCUGACGUCAACCUGGGAUUAUUACGAGAGGACAGUGUCUGUCCCCAUGUACAGGUUGAUUCCACCUCUCAAUCAGCUGGAUUUAUUGAGAAACCUCAAGAACAAAUCAGGACUCUCCUUCAGGAAGGAUGCCCAGCCUGAACCGUCUCCCAGUCAGAAGGUUAGUCUGAAGGAGAGGGUCUUCUCGUCUCCCCGGAGUUCAGGAACCAAAGGGAAAGGUUCUCCUCAGCAUGGUGGGUGUGUUUGUUUGU